rnacentral:misc_RNA from 1 species
UCCUGGUUAACCCAGGCAGUCUCACUAGAGUUCCCAGCUUUACCUGUUGGCAACUAAUGAUAAGGGUUGCGCUCGUUGCGGGACUUAACCCAACACCUCACGGCACGAGCUGACGACAGCCAUGCAGCACCUGUACAGCGGUCCUUGCGGACUAGCAUAUCUCUACACUAUUCCACUGUAUGUCAAGCCCAGGUAAGGUUCUUCGCGUUGCAUCGAAUUAAACCACAUGCUCCACUGCUUGUGCGGGUCCCCGUCAAUUCUUUUGAGUUUCACUCUUGCGAGCGUACUCCCCAGGCGGUAUACUUAUCGCGUUAGCUUCGGUACAACCGGGGUUGAGUCCAGUUACACCAAGUAUACAACGUUUACGGCAAGGACUAC